rnacentral:rRNA from 1 species
AUUGAACGCUGGCGGCAGGCCUAACACAUGCAAGUCGAGCGGAUGAGAGGAGCUUGCUCCUGGAUUCAGCGGCGGACGGGUGAGUAAUGCCUAGGAAUCUGCCUGGUAGUGGGGGACAACGUUUCGAAAGGAACGCUAAUACCGCAUACGUCCUACGGGAGAAAGCAGGGGACCUUCGGGCCUUGCGCUAUCAGAUGAGCCUAGGUCGGAUUAGCUAGUUGGUGAGGUAAUGGCUCACCAAGGCGACGAUCCGUAACUGGUCUGAGAGGAUGAUCAGUCACACUGGAACUGAGACACGGUCCAGACUCCUACGGGAGGCAGCAGUGGGGAAUAUUGGACAAUGGGCGAAAGCCUGAUCCAGCCAUGCCGCGUGUGUGAAGAAGGUCUUCGGAUUGUAAAGCACUUUAAGUUGGGAGGAAGGGUUGUAGAUUAAUACUCUGCAAUUUUGACGUUACCGACAGAAUAAGCACCGGCU